rnacentral:rRNA from 1 species
UACGUAGGUGACAAGCGUUGUCCGGAUUUACUGGGCGUAAAGAGCGCGCAGGCGGUCGAUCAAGUCGAGUGUGAAAGCCCCCGGCUCAACUGGGGAGGGUCAUCGAUACUGAUCGACUCGAAGGCAGGAGAGGGUAGUGGAAUUCCCGGUGUAGUGGUGAAAUGCGUAGAUAUCUGGAGGAACACCGGUGGCGAAGGCGGCAUCCUGGACCGGUAGUUGACGCUGAGGCGCGAAAGCCAGGGGAGGCAAAGCGGGG